AUUGAACGCUGGCGGCAUGCUUUACACAUGCAAGUCGAACGGUAACAGGCCGCAAGGUGCUGACGAGUGGCGAACGGGUGAGUAAUGCAUCGGAACGUGCCCAGUCGUGGGGGAUAACUACUCGAAAGAGUAGCUAAUACCGCAUACGAUCUAUGGAUGAAAGCGGGGGACCGUAAGGCCUCGCGCGAUUGGAGCGGCCGAUGUCAGAUUAGGUAGUUGGUGGGGUAAAGGCUCACCAAGCCAACGAUCUGUAGCUGGUCUGAGAGGACGACCAGCCACACUGGGACUGAGACACGGCCCAGACUCCUACGGGAGGCAGCAGUGGGGAAUUUUGGACAAUGGGCGCAAGCCUGAUCCAGCAAUGCCGCGCGCAGGAAGAAGGCCUUCGGGUUGUAAACUGCUUUUGUACGGAACGAAACGGCUCUGGUUAAUACCCGGGGCUAAUGACGGUACCGUAAGAAUAAGCACCGGCUAACUACGUG
rnacentral:rRNA from 1 species